CUCCUACGGGAGGCAGCAGUGGGGAAUAUUGCACAAUGGGCGGAAGCCUGAUGCAGCAACGCCGCGUGCGGGAUGACGGCCUUCGGGUUGUAAACCGCUUUCGCCUGUGACGAAGCGUGAGUGACGGUAAUGGGUAAAGAAGCACCGGCUAACUACGUGCCAGCAGCCGCGGUGAUACGUAGGGUGCGAGCGUUGUCCGGAUUUAUUGGGCGUAAAGGGCUCGUAGGUGGUUGAUCGCGUCGGAAGUGUAAUCUUGGGGCUUAACCCUGAGCGUGCUUUCGAUACGGGUUGGCUUGAGGAAGGUAGGGGAGAAUGGAAUUCCUGGUGGAGCGGUGGAAUGCGCAGAUAUCAGGAGGAACACCAGUGGCGAAGGCGGUUCUCUGGGCCUUUCCUGACGCUGAGGAGCGAAAGCGUGGGGAGCGGACAGGCUUAGAUACCCUGGUAGUCCACGCUGUAAACGGUGGGUACUAGGUGUGGGGUCCAUUCCACGGGUUCCGUGCCGUAGCUAACGCUUUAGGUACCCGCCUGGGGAGUACGGCCGCAAGGCUAAAACUCAAAGGAAUUGACGG
rnacentral:rRNA from 1 species